CUGCUGCUGGCAGUGCAGCAGAGAGCAGGCACUGGCAUUGCCGGCCUUCAACUCACUUCUCUUUGCUCUGGUAGAUGAACAAAGGCGGUCUGCCCAACGUUUGUACUAUGCCUCUCCCACCUAAUCUGUGUUUCAGCUGGCCAAGCAAUCACCUGGCAUGCUUCCUACACUUCCAACAUUGCUUCAACUAAAGCAAACAAAAAGCCCUACGUAAUAGUAACUCCACCUGUCUCUGCUGGUAGGCUUUAGCUUGCGGGUGCUUUGGGGGGGGGACCCACAAGUUGACAGAACCCAGGUCUUUUAUCCAUGUGCUAAAACUAGCUGUAGUGCUUUAGCAGUAGGAAAAAAAACAUGAGGCUUAGCAAACGAGAGAAACAAUCAGCCUCGUUAAAGAAACUCGUCAAUGGAAGAACAGCCUUUGCACCACUUUUGUAUUUACAUUCUCUACAGAGAGUGAACUUUGGUGUUGGUUAUUAAUGUUCUAGUGCUAGGCAGUGUCUCACACAUUGUUAAAUAAAUAUUUUAAGUGCAAAUAAGGACUUGCUACAGAGGGAGCCUUCAUCAUGUUCACAUUUCUUACUAUGAAGGUGCAGAUAUGACACUUGGCAUUUUUUACUGUAAUCUCCCAAACAUUGAGGCAAGCCCACAGACAGCGAGAGGUGAACAGUUCAUACCUGUGGGCAGGAAGCAAUGAAUACCCACAGUAUAUAGAGAAAGUCAGUCUCACUUCCUUAGAAACUUUUCUGUAAUAACUCUUGUGAUGUAACGCCUCUUCCCUGAAGGGCUGAGAAAUAAAAGUCCCUGUUGCUUGGCUGUGGGUGGUUGGUGUGGGUUUUUUCUGUUUGGAUUUUUUGUUGUUGUUUGUUUUUUAUGAUUCAUAUUCAAAGUCACCGUUAAGGCAGUGAAGGGCUGCUGCACGUGAUGUGCCAGAAGAGGCAGGGAGGUGGAUCAGGAGGGGAUCUCAGCACUGUUGCCAGCUGGAUGAAUGGGGCACUUACAGAAAAUACAGAACCACAGAACUGCUAUGUCACAAAGAUCUGGAUCAAAGCAAAUGCUGCAAUUAAGUAAGCAAUAAUGUAGAAGCUGCUGGG
rnacentral:lncRNA from 1 species